GCCUGGGUGGCUCAGUCAGCUGAGCGUCUGACUUCAGCUCAGGUAAUGAUCUCACAACUUGUGAGUUCGAGCCCUGCAUCAGGCU
rnacentral:tRNA from 1 species